UACAGAGGGGGCAAGCGUUGUUCGGAAUUACUGGGCGUAAAGGGCGCGUAGGCGGCCUUCUAAGUCGAACGUGAAAUCCCCGGGCUCAACCCGGGAACUGCGUCCGAGACUGAAAGGCUCGAAUCCGGGAGAGGGAUGUGGAAUUCCAGGUGUAGCGGUGAAAUGCGUAGAUAUCUGGAGGAACAUCGGUGGCGAAGGCGGCAUCCUGGACAAUUGCUGACGCUCAGGCACGAAAGCGUGGGGAGCAAAAGGG
rnacentral:rRNA from 1 species